GAUGAUGUGUUAGUAAGGGAGGGCCCUGAAGAAGAAACAGAUGGAUCAGAGGAAUUCGGGCUUGGUGUUGGCACAGGUGUUGUGGUAGAACGAGUCUGGAAUUCUGGUGACGGUGACGGUGACGGCAAAGGUGAAGAUGAAGGUGAAGGUGAAGGUGAAGGUGAAGGUGAAGGUGAAGAGGGAGGUAUGCGAACUCUGCGAUCCUCAGCUGUUGACAGUAGUCUGUGAUGAACUACAUCUUCAGUCUGGUCGGUUUUCCUUAAGAAAAAGAAGAGAGAUUGUCA
rnacentral:lncRNA from 1 species